rnacentral:lncRNA from 1 species
AGCUGGAGACAGACACUUCACUGGAGAGACUGCACCAGCUUGAGACCAAGGAGAAAAGUGAACUAGUCUGUCCUUUGACUUCUGUCACACGAGCUCCGCGGGACCCUGGGGGCCCAGAGACCCCGCCCCAGCGAUAGCGAGCGAGCGAGCGCGCGCGCGCGCGCGGCGGGGCCCGGAGGCUUCGGGCCGGCUCGGCAGGCAGCGGCGCCGGCAGGAAGCGGGGACCCCGGGCCCCUUUGUGUGUGUGUGCGCGCAGGGCGGGGGGGAGGGGUGGCGGGCAGCCCCCGGCCGCCAGGCCCCCGCCCCUUCCCGCG